rnacentral:rRNA from 1 species
GGGGCACCUGAUCCUCCAUGCCGCGUGUGUGAAGAAGGCCUCGGGUUGUAAAGCACUUUUGUCAGGAACGAAACGGCGGGGGCUAAUAUCCUCUGCUAAUGACGGUACCUGAAGAAUAAGCACCGGCUAACUACGUGCCAGCAGCCGCGGUAAUACGUAGGGUGCGAGCGUUAAUCGGAAUUACUGGGCGUAAAGCGUGCGCAGGCGGUUGUGCAAGACAGAUGUGAAAUCCCCGGGCUCAACCUGGGAAUUGCAUUUGUGACUGCACGGCUAGAGUGUGUCAGAGGGGGGUAGAAUUCCACGUGUAGCAGUGAAAUGCGUAGAUAUGUGGAGGAAUACCGAUGGCGAAGGCAGCCCCCUGGGAUAACACUGACGCUCAUGCACGAAAGCGUGGGGAGCAAACAGGAUUAGAUACCCUGGUAGUCCACGCCCUAAACGAUGUCUACUAGUUGUCGGGUCUUAAUUGACUUGGUAACGCAGCUAACGCGUGAAGUAGACCGCCUGGGGAGUACGGUCGCAAGAUUAAAACUCAAAGGAAUUGACGGGGACCCGCACAAGCGGUGGAUGAUGUGGAUUAAUUCGAUGCAACGCGAAGAACCUUACCUACCCUUGACAUGUACGGAACCCUGCUGAGAGG